UACGUAGGGAGCAAGCGUUGUCCGGAAUCAUUGGGCGUAAAGCGCGCGUAGGCGGCCCUGUAAGUCCGUUGUGAAAGUCAAAGGCUCAACCUUUGAAAGCCGAUGGAUACUGCAGGGCUAGAGUCCGGAAGAGGCGAGUGGAAUUCCUGGUGUAGCGGUGGAAUGCGCAGAUAUCAGGAGGAACACCAACGGCGAAGGCAGCUCGCUGGGACGGUACUGACACUGAGUCGCGAAAGCGUGGGGAGCGAACAGG
rnacentral:rRNA from 1 species